rnacentral:tRNA from 1 species
AAAACUUAAAAAAGAAUAAAUUUAUUCUAUUAAUUU